AUUCUAUGAUGUCAUGGUUCCUUCUCUAUGCGUGUUCUCUUGAGAACCAAGCAGGAUCAAUAGUUUUCAGAAGAACAGAAGUACAGAAAAAAAUGUGUUGUACUGCCCUAGCUCUACCCCUCCCAGGUUAUGACUCCUUCUGUUACUUUUGACUGGGUCCUACCUUCCGUUUUUGGUCCAGUAACAGGGCUGCCAUUUGGGAAUGGAUUCUCAGGCUCUAGUUGCUCCCCAGAAAAGCCUCAGCAAGUCAUUUUACCCUUUGCCUCUCACUCUACAUGGGUCUUUUCGAGAAUAUCUUAAUGAAAUAUUUCCUCAUCCCUGCGGACAAAGAGAUUUUUAUUGUGGGGGUGUCCCAUUAUUUUCCAUCUCAGGGACUCCUCCUUCAUUGUUUCCUUUUCUCUUCUGCUUCUCUUUCAUGGCUGCGCGUUUCUUCUUCCAGUGUUGCGGGCUAGGUCAGCAGCUGCAGGAGAACUUGAUUAGUGCCUUGCCUCAGUGCAGAUGCAUUUCCCUGACAGCAUCGAUCCUGGGUGCUUUCGCUUUGCAGGCAGCUCCACAGAGGAGGAGCUUGUACUGCAAAGGAGGUGGACUGUUGUCUGUUCAAGAUAUGAGUGGGAUCACUAAAACAUGGAAGCAACAAAAGUACCUACACUUCUAUCUCUACCUGACAAGAAAAUAUUGCAAGAUUACAAGCUAACCAUCACCUGGAAGGAAGAAAUGUUGGGCAUGGCACUAACUGAUGUGUAUAUUUACCGUGAAGUUUACCCCAGGUGAAAAGAGGAAACCAGCUGUGUGAAUGGAAUUUGGAGAAAGGUAAUACCCGCUGGCCAACAAGAGAAAGAUCCAUGAAAUCUAUAUAGUCGUCCUGGAUAAGAGUUUGCCAAGAUUUCUGUAGACUUGGUCUUCCUUUCUACUCCUGGAAAAAUUCCCUUUAGGGCAGAGUUGAAGCACAUUUUAACAGAGUAGCACUUGCUCUUCUGCCUAUAUGCUGCCUAAGCAGUAGAUAAUCAGAAGUGCUCUGGGUUCCGAAUUCAGCUGCAACAAAAAUCACUUUUUAAACAGUUUGCUGUUGAGACACCCGAAUUACUGACUCACUUUGGAUGGCGUCUUCACUAUCUAGGAUAAAAGUGCUUUAAAUGUACUCUAUAGCAUAACCUAUAGUGAUAAUGCAGUAUGCCAUGUUAUUUACCACUU
rnacentral:lncRNA from 1 species